UACUUUUUAUCUCUUAUUAGUGUAUUUUUUUUUAUCUGAUAUUUGUUUAUGAUUAUAUUGAAGGUUCCAAGAGCUUCCAUAUUGCUCUCUUUUUAGUCAUAAUAUAUAUGUAUAUAUAUAAUAUGGGGCAUUUUUUUAUAAUAUAUUCAUAGCAUAUGGAUUGUAUUGCUGUUGAAAUUUAUAAAUUAUUAACAGCACUGUUUCACUGCUGUGUUUUGAGUGGUUUAUAUUUAUAGAAUGUUUGCUUAAUUGAUUUAAUUUUAAUAUGUGUAUAGUGUGUCACCACCAGUCACUAAUGCGUAACACAACCUCAUUUCUGUACUCCAAACUUUAUACUAUAAUGGCUUGAUACAGUAUAACAAUCUCUUAUAAUUAUAUCUGUCGUCAAUAUUCGGUUGACUUACCUUAAUUAAUUUCUAACCUAUUUCUACAUUAUUGGCUGUUUCUGUUUCUUUCUUAUGAAGUUAUCGUUACCUUGCGCUUGUGAUUUGCCAGUUUUACAUAUAAUUUUGGAGCUAAUUCAUAUAUUAUUAGUUAAAAAUCAUUGGUGAUUAUAGUUUUUACAAUUCUAUUCCUUCAAUGCUGCGUUGCUUGGAACAGUUACAAGGUACGUGUUUGGUUCUGGUUCUGGUUCUGGUUAGAACCAUCUGGUUCUUUGUUAUAUUGUCAACACUUAUUAUGAUUACCUUUACUUAUCCUAAAACUGUAAGUAUAUAUAUACAUAUAAAAAAACGCCAUAUUUCAUUAGAUCUGCAUAGUAAAAUAGUCUGUCCUUUUUCUUGUUUACUAAGACCACUUUGUCAAUGUUGAAUUAUUUUGUUAUAAUGUUACUAAUUUUUCUUUGGUUUUCCAGUUUCCUGUUGCCGUAUUGACCGUUUUGGUAGUAUCUGCUGCAGUACUCCGUAAAAAUUCACUUAGAUUUGGUAGUGAAUUUCUUAUAACUGUGUUGGCUUUUGUGUAUAUCUUUCGAUGUUAUGAUUGUUUACCUCAAUAUUUAUUACCUCGGUAUUCUCGUACUUCUGAUCGUCGUAUACUAUGUUCUACAAAAAUGCAUCCGUAAUCAAUCACUGUGGAAUUCCUGCAUGUACAUUUCCUUCCACGAUAAUUAGUUGUAUACAGGCCUCAUUGAUUUAUAAGAUUUCUGCUAUCUUCAUUAUUCGACAAGCAAUGUUACUAUAUACCACCGUACCACGUUGCUUCUUGAAAUUGUUCUGACUAUUGUCUAUUUUGGUUAUGUGCUAGUUUUAAUUUGUUGAAGUGUACUGUUCGCGGAAUCCCUUUCACUUCAAUCUUGACGUUUUGGUUUUGCAAAAUUUCUAACACUUUAUGCGGUCCUGUAUAUUGAUCAGAGAAUUUUCCUUUGCUAGGUUCCCUUAGUAGAUAUACCAGAUCUCCUAUUUUGAAAUUUUGUGGGUUGAUUCGUCUGUUGUAAUAUUCCUUUGACUUUAACUUGGAUUUCAUCAAAUUUUUUCUUGCCAUUUAUUGCACGGUGCUGAUUUUAUCAAACAGGUCUCUGAGAUAUUCUGCAUAUGUUGCAGAUCCAUAUGGUUCCAUGUUUUCUUCGAUUAUCAUUUUGUCAGUAGGUUCUCUAGCCAAGUGCCCAAAGACUAAUUCGUGCGGAGAGAAUUUCGUUCCUUCGUGUACAGAGGUGUUAUAAAAAAACAUGGCUAAUUCCACCCAUUCGUCCCAGUUUCUGGAAUUUUCAAUGUACAAUUUGAGAUAUUCGAUUAAUACAUGGUGAGAUCUUUCGAUUGAACCGUUGCUUUGUGGAUGGUAUGCCGACGUGGUGUAUUAUUGAUGCGAAAUCUCUUUGCUACUUUCUUCAUUAACGAGGAAAAAUUCGUUCCCUGGUCGGUAAGAAUGGCUUUCGGUGACCCGAAUUGGCAAAUAAAUCGUUCGUUACGAAAACGUUCGCUAUCUCAGCCGAAGAGAUCCCUUCUAUCGGAAUCCCGAUCGAAUAGAUCGAUAGAUUUGUCAAUAGAUCUUGAAUAGUUAAUAUAUAUUCAUUUCCCCUUUGUGUCUUUGGUAAUGGACCGACGAUAUCCAUACCAAUUUUGUCGAAAGCUUUACCCGGUGUAUCUGUGAGCACCAUUGGUUGUUUUGUUUUUAUUCUAGUGAACUUCUUCAAUUGGCAUUCUUUACAUGUUCUUACGGAUCUCUUUCUUCAUGUUUCCCCAAUAAUGGUGUUGUCGUAUUCUUUGAUAAGUUUUUGUUACUCCUUUGUGUCCUGCUACAGAUGAUUCGUGUUUUUCUCGUAUUAUGUUGCAUAUGUCGUGUUUCCACUGGUGGGGUGAUUAUUUCCCCGGUACAGAUGGUGAUAGCUAUGGUUUUUUCCGUAAAUACUUCCUUCAAUUUCCUGAUUGUGUGUCGCCAGGGUAUUUCUUCCAGGUUUCCCUUGCUAAUGCUAAAGAACGUUAAUUGUUUUUCGUUUACUACGUCCAAUAAGGAUCUCAAUGAAUUUAGUAAAUUUUCUGGCGUUAUAGGAAUAUUUCGGUCUUCCCUUAUGGGUAUGGAUACGAUGUAUUUUCCGAAAUACCUUGAUUCAAUCUUGCUUUUUUCAACAUUAGAUUUUCAUAAUGCGGCAGUUUCCCUGCUUCCUUUAUUUAUAAGACUCCUUUAUCUAUCGGAGUGCCCUGUAUAUCGACGAAUAUUACUUUAUGAUCAUUCACUCUUGUAACUGAGUCUCGCGUUUCCGAAAUUUUUAGUUCCGAAAGUACCGUAGGUCUCGCGUCUUUUCCUCGUUGCCGAAUUGGUCCCGAGUCUGCCAUAGCGGGCUCUUCUUCGCUUGUUGUAUCGAUGUCUUUUAUUUCUCGAUUGGCUACUUCCUCGUCUGUGUUUACAUCGAUUUCGGCUAAUGCUUGGUCAAAAUAUUUUACGGAUGUUUCUUCUAUGGUGAGAUGGUUUCGAAUAGAAGUUUUUCCUUGUUUUCCGGUCUAUCGUAUUGCGACAAUUCGCGUGGCUUAGCUUCGAAUAUGGGAGAGUCCUCAAUUGACGUAUCUAGUUCAAAUCUUUUUGGGACAGUAUAUCGAAUCGGUGAAUCUUCUUCUCUUUUCCUGAUUGGUAGGCAGACCUCCGGGGGGUUUCUAAACAAUGCGUCCGCAUUUGCGUUCGUUCUGCCUUCUUUGUAUAUAAUAUCGAAUUCAAAGUCCGACAAUUUGAAUUUCUACUUCCAGAUUCGUGAAGUAGGAUCCUUGAUAGAAUGCAUCCACACUAAAGGUUUAUGGUCGGUUAUAAUAGUAAACUUUCUUCCGUAUAGAUACGAUCGGAAGUGCAUUGCACUUAGACGAUUGCCAAACACUCCUUUUCUAUAGUAGAGUAGUUUUGUUCGGCGGAGUUUAGUAGUCUUGAGGCGUAUGCAGUCGGUAGGUCUUUUCCGAUUGGUCUUUGACUCAGUACGCCGAUUAUUGCAUAUCCUGAUGCGUCUGUCGUAAGGUUGAAGGAUUUAGAGAAAUCCGGAUAUUGUAGAAUAGGUUUUGUCAUUAGCGCCGUUUUUAAAUUGUGGAAAUUGAAUCAUGGAAAUUUUGAUACUGCUUCAAUCUUCUUUGGAUCUGGUUUUACACCAUCUUCACUGAUUAUAUGUGUGGCGGCACUCGACAAGCCAAAUACCACCACUCGACACUAACUAGUGUCGGACGACGGCAGCACAACUUAGCGCCUUAAGUUAUGAACGUUCAGGACCCGGGUUUGAAUCCCGGCGAUCGGAGUCCGAUUUUUCUUCCACGCAUCUAAAUCAGAAGAAAAAGCAGCAGUAUCCCAGCAGCGACAUCUACAGCCAGCAAUUACAAUUACUCUGGACGAGGACAACACAAUUCUAUCACGGAUAACAUAUACCACCUCCUAUGCCCUAAAUAACUUACUUCAUGUUGUAGGAAUUCGCAUUUAUCAGGUUGUAAUCGUAAUCUGGCUUGCCUUAAUCUUUCCAUUAAUUUGUUAAAUUUACUUUCGUGUUCAUGAAAAGAUCUUGAAUAAAUCACUAUGUCAUCCAGAUA